UGGUGGACCGGCUCCUAUUAUCAUGGACCAUGGCAAGCCUAUGGACCCCUAAGGGCGGGAAAAAUCAUGGCUCACAAAGAGCACUGUUUAUAUGAGCAGUGCUCCGAUGCUAAGGCUACAGUGGUGGGCGUGCAGAUGCAGGUUUGGGCGGCAUGCGGAUCCAAUAAAGAAGUUUUUUAAGGGUGUUAAGAGUUGGAUUUUUAUCAAGAUUCAGACAUCAUUUUUCACCCGAAUUGAGCCACGUUUUCAACGCUGUAUUCACGCAGUUUUGGGCCCUUUAAAUAUAGAUGCUGGAU
rnacentral:lncRNA from 1 species